GACGAACGCUGGCGGUGUGCUUAACACAUGCAAGUCGAACGGUAAGGCCCUUCGGGGUACACGAGUGGCGAACGGGUGAGUAACACGUGGGUGAUCUGCCCUGCACUUCGGGAUAAGCCUGGGAAACUGGGUCUAAUACCGGAUAGGACUCCGGACUGCAUGGUCUGGGGUGGAAAGCUUUUGCGGUGUGGGAUGGGCCCGCGGCCUAUCAGCUUGUUGGUGGGGUGAUGGCCUACCAAGGCGACGACGGGUAGCCGGCCUGAGAGGGUGACCGGCCACACUGGGACUGAGAUACGGCCCAGACUCCGACGGGAGGCAGCAGUGGGGAAUAUUGCACAAUGGGCGCAAGCCUGAUGCAGCGACGCCGCGUGAGGGAUGACGGCCUUCGGGUUGUAAACCUCUUUCAGCAUCGAAGAAGCGAAAGUGACGGUAGGUGCAGAAAAAGCACCGGCUAACUACGUGCCAGCAGCCGCUGUAA
rnacentral:rRNA from 1 species